rnacentral:tRNA from 2 species
GCUAGCGUAGCUUAAAUAAAGCAUAACACUGAAGAUGUUAAGU